ensembl:lincRNA Gm37387 predicted gene, 37387
AAGUUUGCAUUUCCUAAAUCUGUAAAGAGUUUAUUCAGUUUUCUUAUCCUCUGCACUCUUCCAGUGAACUGAUUUAAUUUAGAAGUUUCACACACAAGCCAGAGAAGAUAUGUCUCAAAAAAUGUUUCUAAGUAGUUCCAGAAUCUACUCCUAUUUUCUUGUUUUGUGUCACAAUCUUAUACUCAUCCUUUCUGGAAAGUCAUGGAAAUAGAAGUGGGCUUUUAUUGAAUGUUUACACACACACACACACACACACACACACACACACACAACUAAAAGAAAAUAAAAAGGAGGAAGUAUACCAAGAAUUGAACCAAACUUAGAUAAUAUAGUCACCAUGUACAACUCUCUACCUGUGUGUCUCUGAGUGUGUCUGUCUCUCUGCUUAUCUGUCUUUCUGAUAUAUAUAUAUAUAUAUGGCCUAUAAUUUUCUAGGCAGAAUAUGUGUACCCUCAAUCAUAAUAGGUUUCUCAAAGACAUAAAGCUUUAUGAAAAAAUGGAUAUCAUCUGAUUUAUGAGUGCAUUCACUAGCACAGGUAUUGCUCAGUGGUGUUUACCUACUGGUGAGUAGUAGGUAAUAGAGAACAUUAUUAAAUCAUUCAGUCUAGUGAGAUGGAUAGGUAAAAUCAGGGACACUGUGAGCAUCCUUUAGUAAGACACAUGUGAUGAAUGAAGAAUAAACUGAAGACUUGGGCUGGAAGGUAAUCGAUGGGAAUGACAAGAAAUGAUCGUGUAUAACACAUGUAGGUAAAUAUCUACCAAAAAUUGGUAGAGAUUGCCAUGUAUGCCUAGAAUCUCAGCACAAGGCCAGCCUCUGUUACAUAGUGAGUUAGAGGCCAGCCUGGGCUUCAGGAGAUCCUACAUCAAAGGACCAAAGGAGAAAUUGGUUCAAACUGUUAACACCUUAAAGGAUAGUUAAACAAACAGCAGUUUGAUAUAUUGAGUGCUUGAGUCUUUAAUAAAAGUGAAUGAAUAACAUUGUGAGGGAGGGAAGCAGUAAUGUAGAAGUCUGGUGGUAGAAGAGUUAGAAGAAACAGAUGUAAUGUUGAAUGUUAGUUUUAGACUUUUGUUCAGAGAUGAUUAUAAGAGUGAUUAAAUUAGGAAGGUAAAGAUACCAGAAGAAUUAUUUUGCGAUAGAACUAAGGCAGUCAAACUCCACAUGCCUACACUUAAAAGGGGAAAGUAAGGAUCAAAGUAGAAAGCCUAACAAUUAGUCAGAAAAGCAUAUUACAUCAGGCAGCAGGAGCCGAUAGUAGAGAAAAGUUAAACAAGGAGAAAAUAAUUAACCACGUUGGCUUGGGAAAGAGAAGAGAAAAUGGCAAGUCUAAAUGAAUGCAAACUGAGCAGGCAUUUCCCAGAGGGUGUGGGCUGAGGACCAGAACAUUUGCAAAAGUGUUGAGAGAUUAAAAUAUAAGGUCCUAGAUGACUAAUCAUAGUGUAUUAUUGUUAGUUAGUUUUCAUCUUCAGGUUAAGGAGCAGGGCUCAGACUCUGGAGACCACCAAGAAUGUAACAGCAGAAUGGAAAUAAGGUCAGACAGGGAAGAGCAACAUUUUGCUCAGGCUGCAGAUGUCCCGAUUUCAAAUAAAGCGCAAAAGCCCUAGGUUUGGGAGAAGAGGAGAGACUGAUUGAUCCUGAGGGUGGAUGGCUGGGGAAGGUAAGGGGGAACUUGGCGAAACCAACACUCUUAUGUCCACUGUGUAGGACUUUGUGAUAGUCUUACAAGCACUGUCUCAUGGACCCUAUUAAAUGUCUUUACACACACUUCAAA